GACGAACGCUGGCGGCGUGCCUAAUACAUGCAAGUCGAACGCAGUGGGGACGGGUGAGUAACACGUGGGUAACCUCCCAUCAGAGGGGAUAACACUUGGAAAAAGGUGCUAAACCGAUACUGACGGAUGGACCCGCGGUGCAUUAGCUAGUUGGGGGGGUAACGGCUCACCAAGGCCACGAUGCAUAGCCGGCGGGAGAGGGUGAUCGGCCACACUGGGACUUAUGCACGGCCCAGACUCCUACGGGAGGCAGCAGUAGGGAAUCUUCGGGAAUGGACGAAAGUCUGACCGAGCAACGCCGCGGGAGGGAAGAGGGUUUUCGGAUGGUAAAACUCUGUUGUUAGAGAAGCGGUAUCGAACCAGAAAGCCACGGCUAACUACGGGCCAGGAGGCGCGGUAAAUAC
rnacentral:rRNA from 1 species